CAAUUCUUGCAGUUAAAAUCUGUCUCUUCACCUCUCACAAAACUAAUCUCUAUCUCUCCUCAAAUUCCAUGUCAUAGCUAAGAAUAUUUUCAGGUUCCUGCUCCCUGCUAAUAGCAACUGGGAGUGAGGUGGAGGGGGAAAAGGCCUUUUAUUCUAACUCACUUUUUUUUUGGUUCCUCACCAAUUCUGAACAAGUGAAAUUAUACAGUAUUGUGGCAGAAGUUGCAUUUUGUCUCCAGAGCCCCGCUCUGCUGCGCCUGCCAGGCCAGCAGCCUCUGUUGACCCAGUGAGCCCCAGGGGGUGGGGAAUGCUGGGAGACCUCCCUAUCCUGCCCACCUCUCAACCUCAGGCUUCACUGGUAAGCAGAAGACAGCCUGGGGAGGCUGGGCUACAAGAACCCCAUAAUAUGGUCUGGCCAGCUACUCAGCUUUUGAUGGAAUUUCCCCCUCCCCCUUUCUUCACUUCUUUUUUGUCAAGGCCUGAAAGCUGGGGGUCAGUGCUCUUCACCUCCUCGAAAUGGGUCUACCCUUGAAAUAUAUGGAUUUGCCUGCACCAUUCAGGCCAUGCUUGGAUUCCUGGUUCCAGUUGGUUAGUGAGAUGUCUUGCCAGUUUUGGAGCAUGGUCCAAAAGCAGUAGGGUUCCAGUUUGGGUUGGGGACCUGUGCUUAACCCACGGCAUAGAUGGUCACAUGGUGACUUCUUGUGGAAGGACUCUGGGCCUUAACAUACAGAGGAUGGGACUUGCUGCUUCCCCUUUGAAGCCAACCUGCAGCCAGAGCAGUAAUUGAUGGCUUUGAUGGCAUGGACUUUACUGGUAGGUUGGGCUGUGUUGGGGCUUGCCUGGCCCUGCCCAGCCCCUGCCCAGCCCCUGCCACAGCCCCCUACUGAAGCCUUACAUGUGGGAAGUCUCCAGUCUCCGAGCCUCAUGCCUGUGGUUUCUCGAAAAGAAUCUUGGUUUGAGCCAUUCUAUAUCUGUCAGACAACACUGUAAAGCCCCAUUUCCCCCAUCUGGAGGUAAGAGUGAGUCCACCGUGAGGACCCUGUGUCUCCACAGAGUGACCAAGGACAAACUGCCUGUUGGACAGCGAGCACAUUUCUUCACUGCUUUUUUAAGCACUGGUUCACCACUAGCAAAGUGCCCCUGGAGGGAAUGAGGUGAUUUUUGGAAGGCAGUGGAACAGAGGUUCUCCAAAGCCAACUUUUCAUGAGGAUUUGCAAGGUGACACUAUGGAAUGAUGAAAUAAUGGGUGCAAAAAUGUGAUUGUAGAAAGGAAUGACUUUUUAGGCAAGUUGCCGUGUUUCUCUUAAUUAUGU
rnacentral:lncRNA from 1 species